rnacentral:rRNA from 1 species
UACGUAGGGUGCGAGCGUUGUCCGGAAUUAUUGGGCGUAAAGAGCUCGUAGGCGGUGUGUCACGUCGGCCUGAAAACCUGCAGCUUAACUGUGGGCGUGCGGUCGAUACGGGCAUCACUGGAGUUCGGCAGGGGAGACUGGAAUUCCUGGUGUAGCGGUGAAAUGCGCAGAUAUCAGGAGGAACACCGGUGGCGAAGGCGGGUCUCUGGGCCGAUACUGACGCUGAGGAGCGAAAGCGUGGGGGAGCAAACAGG